GGACAUCUGCUAGGACAGCAACCAUGGCGUAGGAAAGGUGUUCGAUCUAUUGCCUCUUUGGCUGUGCAUAUAUUGGUGUGCUCUUUCAUGUGCAAUAUUAACUUGCUCUUUUUUGCAGGGUUGGUUCAACCAUUAUUAGAUGAUAUUCCAGCGAUUACUCAAUAUAUAUGAUUGUAGAGAGUAAUGACAAUCUCUGCUUAAAGAUAAUGUGCUCCAUCGACCUUUGAUAUCAUAUAGCAUGUUACUUUAUAUACUUCAAUAAAUAUCCAUUAUACGGUUGCAAUGGUUGUAUUUGUUUAUUUAUUUACCUUUGGUCAGAUUGAGAUUUGGAACUAUCACUUUGCUUAUUUCAUAUGUCUACUGAAUUAACCUGGCUUUGAAGCCUGAUGUCCCUCUAUAUUUUGAAUUUAAUAGUUUUGCUUUUUAUUCCAAGUUUGGAUGCUAUUUUUUCAGAAGCUUAUUAAUUUUUCAGAAGCUUAUUAAAUAUUAGUUGGUGAGAUGCUCUAUUAUCACAAGUGUCUUCCCAUUUUGUAAAUAUGUUCCCUUUUGGAUUUUAACUUUUAGCUUCUCAACUAAACACUGAAAACAAUAUCUGCACUCUUCACAAAAUUUGAUUGCAGGAACAGGGUAGAAUUGAAGCUCUUUCUAUGCUUCCAAUAGCUUGACUGCAUCUUAUCUGGUGUCUUUUUUCUCGAACCAUCUUAUCUGGUGCUAAUUCAACAGAAGUCAUGUCUGCAAAUUUUGUCAGAGGCCGUUAGACUGCAUAGAAUGUUGACAAGGAUGCGGCUCCUCUCUUCCAGAAAGGUGUCAGAUUGUAUGAUGGCUUUGCCAAGCAGUCGGUCAGUUAUAAGAAGCUCCUGUUCAGAAUUACAGAGCAAGGAGGAUACAAUUGGUUUCACAUUAGAAAAUAUCAGCUCCAUGAAGAUAUAAGUUCUACAGAUAUAAAUCCUCCAUACAAAAUUAUUCACUUAUGUAUUUGUUUUUAUUUGUGUGUGUGAUUAACAUAUCAACAUACAUCAUUCUUCUAUUAUAAUCUAUCGAAAACAUGCAAGAACCAGUUUGAAUUUGUAUCUAAAA